rnacentral:rRNA from 1 species
GAUGAACGCUAGCGGCAGGCUUAAUACAUGCAAGUCGAGGGGCAGCAUGGUGUAGCAAUACACUGAUGGCGACCGGCAAACGGGUGCGGAACACGUACGCAACCUUCCCAAAACUGGUGAAUAGCCCUCCGAAAGGAGGAUUAAUACACCGUAACAUAAUGAAAUGGCAUCAUUUUAUUAUUAUAACUCCGGUGGUUUUGGAUGGGCGUGCGACUGAUUAGGUAGUUGGCGGGGUAACGGCCCACCAAGCCUGCGAUCAGUAACUGGUGUGAGAGCACGACCAGUCACACGGGCACUGAGACACGGGCCCGACUCCUACGGGAGGCAGCAGUAAGGAAUAUUGGUCAAUGGACGAAAGUCUGAACCAGCCAUGCCGCGUGAAGGAUGAAGGUCCUCUGGAUUGUAAACUUCUUUUAUAGGGGACGAAAAAAGGGAAUUCUUUCUCACUUGACGGUACCCUAGGAAUAAGCACCGGCUAACUCCGUGCCAGCCGCCGCGGUAACAC